GACGAACGCUGGCGGCGUGCUUAACACAUGCAAGUCGAACGGAAAGGCCCUGCUUUUGUGGGGUGCUCGAGUGGCGAACGGGUGAGUAACACGUGAGUAACCUGCCCUUGACUUUGGGAUAACUUCAGGAAACUGGGGCUAAUACCGGAUAGGAGCUCCUGCUGCAUGGUGGGGGUUGGAAAGUUUCGGCGGUUGGGGAUGGACUCGCGGCUUAUCAGCUUGUUGGUGGGGUAGUGGCUUACCAAGGCUUUGACGGGUAGCCGGCAUGAGAGGGUGACCGGCCACAAUGGGACUGCGGUACGGCCCAGACUCCUACGGGAGGCAGCAGUGGGGAAUCUUGCACAGUGGGCGGGAGCCUGAUGCAGCAACGCCGCGUGCGGGAUGACGGCCUUCGGGUUGUAAACCGCUUUCGCCUGUGACGAAGCGUGAGUGACGGUAAUGGGUAAAGAAGCACCGGCUAACUACGUG
rnacentral:rRNA from 1 species